GCUGAGGCUACUAAAGAAGGAAGCCGUGGGCGGGGAAGAGGCAAGUAGUGGAAUGGGGUCUGCGGGCCAUCCUCUGAGCCCUGCCCCAGCCAGCCCUUCUGCGGACUCUCCAGUUGUAUUGUCUAGAAACUCCUAAAGAAGUAAGCAGAGCCUUGAAGCAACACUGCAGAAGAAUGACCAUGUCAUCGUUCCCAAUGAGAGUCUGUAACAAGAUGGAGUGUGUGAAGGCCCAGACAUGGGUCUGGGUCACAGGCCGGCAAGUCUCAGGAGUGUCUCAAAAUCAGACUAUGAAUAAACGCUCAAAUACAGUUUGAAUCAGCAGAGUCUGCUGUGUCACCGAGGACGAGCGCACUUCCAGUGGCCAUCCAAUAACCCGUGCUGGCUGCUGUUUUCCAUGAGACAGACGGGACACCCUGAAGACACUAGUGGAACUUCACUCAUUCGUCAGUGAUGCGACCGACUCCUUUGCUGAAUCAAAUAACAGUUUUCUAAUACUGCAAGAGUAUUUUGUUGAUUCUUUUGUACUAUUCACAAUAUAAGUGUUAUAUAC